UCGCCUGUUUAUCAAAAACAUAGCUAUUAGAAUAAAAUAUAGUGAAUUCUGCUCAAUGAAUUUUAAAUAGCCGCAGUACACUGACUGUGCAAAGGUAGCAUAAUCAGUUGGCUUAUAAUUGAAGUCUUGUAUGAAUGAAUAAAUGGGGAGUAACUGUACGAUAGAAAAUGAAAUUACUAAGGAGUGCAAAUUCUUACAAAUACAUAAUAGACGAGAAGACCCUAGAUAAUAUUUUUUUGUUGGGGCAACGUAACAGAAAUUACAUGAACAAGAAAUUAUUAUAAAUUACUCUAGGGAUAACAGCGUAAUAUUUAUAUGUUUGCGACCUCGAUGUUGGACUAGGAAACGAAUAC
rnacentral:rRNA from 1 species